UGUUCAUAGACAUCGCAUGUUUUAAAUCGGUCAGACUUGCACACGAUGUAAAAACGUAAUCUAACAUCGUUUUACGAAAAUACCGAUUUAAAUGUAUAUCAUUAGCAUCGGGUCUUAAAAUGACCGGUGUUAAAAGUUUUGUUUGAAAAUUUGCGGGAACCUAUUUUUGCAAAACGCGCUAAGUGUUUUAAGUGAAUUGAAGAAGCGGGUACUAAAUCUAAAAACUUUCACACUUAGAAAAAAAAAAAUUAAAGCCCGAUCCCAAAAGUUAGACAGAAAACCCUAAGCUCUCGCGCGGCCUCCUUCUCACUCGAACUUGCCUUCAUUCUAAACUCACCCCAAUCUGGAUCUCCUCCCAAACCCGACCUCCAUCUCCUCCCUUCCUUCCUUCCUUCAUCUACGUCCUCAGCUUCUUCGGCAUCAACUCCGUCCAGUCUGGCAUCGACUUCGUCCAGUCCGGCAUCGACUUCGUCCAGUCCGUCCUCAGCUUAUUUGUCGAAGCAUUUCUAAACAGCGCCGUUCAGUCUUAGCCUGUGGAAUCGAAUCAAGAGAGCGGCGGCCAGUCGGCGCGACUCACUUCAGAGAACGACUCCGUUGUGGGAUUCGAAGGAUUUGCCUGUAGAAGGAUUCUAGGAGUCGCCGGUCGGAGGCGAAGUAAUCUUAACUUCCCAUCGUUUGCUUUGUGGAAACCUAGACCUAAGAAUAUGCUGCUUGACUAGAAACAACAGAGCCUCAAGAUUGGCGAUGGGAUCAGUCAGUCUUUCACUUUCUUUUGCGAGUUUUUAUGCUGGACAUGGUCACUCUCUGUUACCAGGUGCUGGAGAUUUUGCUUGGGUCCACAGAUUACUUGACUUGGCGGACAUUUGGAACCUCGGCUGCAUCUUCGGUUUUCGCACGAUUUACACCUCUACAAUGUGGCUGGAUUCUUGGACUAAGAAUGAGAUGGACCUGGGUUUCUUGGUAUAUAAAUAUGCAGUGCGCUUUGGGUUGUCUUCAAAGAGCUUUUGUGACCUUAUCACUGAUAUGGGUUCUCAUGGGUGUACAGGGGUGGAAUUAUGAUUUCUUAUUUUGAAAGUUGAUGAUUAUACUUCUUGAAUCUCCAUAUAUUGCAGCUUUUUACCAUUUGGAAUUGUAUUAAUAAGGUCAUAUCUACUAUAUCAAGUUAAUCGAGAGAUGCUAGUAUGACAUGCAAGAUGUAAUAUAUACCGGUCAUGACAUUGUUGAUGCAUGUAAGAGCAGUAAGUUCCUUUAUUUGAAUCAAUAGAUUUAACUUUGACCUCAACUAGCAACCUUCCAUGGAUACAUGUCACCUCAACUAGCAAUUUGACUUAAAUGUCUACAUUGGUAUCAUUCUUUGUCACAACAUUUCUGAUACAAUCUGUUUACUUAGGUGCUGAUCUCCAAAAGGGAAUAGCCAGAGGCUCCUCUUUCCCCUGCAAUGGAUGCUGUAAUAAGAGUAUUCAAACGUGUCGCUGGAUUAUCUAAGUGUGCAGGCGAGGCAGAGUUGUCUGGUGCUGCUGGAGUUGCAUUCUGUUCCAUCCGUUUGUUGGUAGCAUCCACACAAGCGAUUAAUUUAAUUGGAAAACAAGGAUCAUUAAUCAAAUCUAUAGAGGAGAGUACCGCUGCUUCUGUGCGAGUGUUGUCUGGAGGUAUGCUUUUAGUGUGGUACAGUGUUGAUUUUCUCUAAUCAGUAAAAUAUCAGUGGUUUCCGUAUCUUAUCUUCAUUGUCUUACCAGUGUUCAAGUCUUAUCCUUUUUUCUCCAAGGCAGAGUAUAAUUAUCAUGUAGCUAUUUUAUGUGGUUAUCACCGUUUCAAAUUAGCAAGGAGUCACUUACUGAAAUUUGGAACUAAAAUGAUUCUUGUAUUUCAAAUUAGCAGCAUAGAGCCACAGAGAGAGGAGGAGAAUUUUUUUGACCCAUCACUUAGCUGAGAAUGACCCAUCACUACUAUCAAUUAAAAGCUUUGUUAUUUGCAAUCUCUCUUUACGUCCAGAUUUUUGUAACCGUGUAGGUAAAGGAGCUUGCAGUCCAGCACGUAAAGUAAAGUACUUUUCAGCUGUAAGAAAGUACUCAAAUUUUUGGAAGCAACAACUAAAUGAUCACCAUUGUCUUUUCGGGUAGCUAGCAGCACUUUAAUGAUCAAUUUUAAGAGAACCAUCCAAAUUGAGCAGUUUUAGUUUUUCUCUUAGUAUGAGGAGGAUUAUGUCUCCUAUAAUUUGUGAAAAUUAAAGAAGCAUAAAACAUAAUUUGAACAGGUUCUAUGAAUAUUUAGAAAAUAAAUCAUAGCAAGUACAUAAAGCAAUAGAAAAAGUUGAUGGCUUUGAUGGCUUUGACCACAAAUGUGAUGAGAGAUGAUAGUGAUAAGGUAAAGUGGU